rnacentral:lncRNA from 1 species
ACGUAUGGGUGGAGGGAAGUGACUGCUGCUGUUGAAUAUCAGAAUAAAAAUGUUAAUACUAUUACCUAAUGACCGUUUCAGUAUCUGUAGGAACUCUUAAUGGUAUCCCUUUUUGUAUUUCUGAUCUUUUAAUGAUAUGUUUCCUUCGUCCUCAUGGUGGCUCCAUAGGGUGGGUGCUGCUCCCAAAUGUGCCCAUUUGACAGGUGAGACAUCUGGGGUCAGAGAGGUGGUAACUGGCUAACCCCAAGAAUCCAGAUGUUGGUCAGAGAAAUGGUGAGUGGUCAGAUAAUGGGUUGACUUGAUAUGUACAUGCUUAGAAGUAGUGUGUGUCUUGAAUCAACAGGUACGGGGUGUGGCAGAAUGUGGCCAAGGUAGGGAGUAAGAAAAG